UACAGAGGGUGCAAGCGUUGUUCGGAAUUAUUGGGCGUAAAGCGCGUGUAGGCGGCUUUGCAAGUCGGGUGUGAAAGCCCUCGGCUCAACCGAGGAAGAGCGCCCGAAACUGCAGAGCUUGAGUGCCAGAGAGGGUGGCGGAAUUCCGCAAGUAGAGGUGAAAUUCGUAGAUAUGCGGAGGAACACCGGUGGCGAAGGCGGCCACCUGGCUGGUAACUGACGCUGAGACGCGAAAGCGUGGGGAGCAAACAGG
rnacentral:rRNA from 1 species